GUACUCACAUCGGCAGCACAUAUUCUAAAACUGGAAUGAUAACAGAGAAGAUUAGCAUGACCCCUGCAGAAGGAUGACAUGCAAAUUCGUGAAGCAUUCCAUUAAAGA
ensembl:snRNA U6 U6 spliceosomal RNA